AUUAAAAACCAAUGCCCUUCGGGGCUCUCUGGUGAUUCAUAAUAACUUCUCGAAUCGCACGGCCUUGCGCCGGCGAUGGUUCAUUCAAAUUUCUGCCCUAUCAACUUUCGACGGCUGGGUCUUGGCCAGCCGUGGUGACAACGGGUAACGGAGGGUUAGGGCUCGACCCCGGAGAAGGAGCCUGAGAAACGGCUACUACAUCCAAGGAAGGCAGCAGGCGCGCAAAUUACCCAAUCCCGACACGGGGAGGUAGUGACAAUAAAUACUGAUACAGGGCUCUUUCGGGUCUUGUAAUUGGAAUGAGUACAAUUUAAAUCCCUUAACGAGGAUCAAUUGGAGGGCAAGUCUGGUGCCAGCAGCCGCGGUAAUUCCAGCUCCAAUAGCGUAUAUUAAAGUUGUUGAGGUUAAAAAGCUCGUAGUUGAACCUUGGGCCUAGCCGGCCGGUCCGCCUCACCGCGUGCACUGGCUCGGCUGGGUCUUUCCUUCUGGAGAACCGCAUGCCCUUCACUGGGUGUGCC
rnacentral:rRNA from 1 species